AACUUUCCACAACGGAUCUCUUGGCUGUCGUAUCGAUGAAGAAUGUAGGGAAAUGCCAUAGGUAAUGUGAAUUGCAGAACUCAGUGAAUCAUCGAAGCAUUGAAUGUACAUUGUGCCCUGGAGUAUUCCUCAGGGCAUGCCUGUCCGACCGUC
rnacentral:rRNA from 1 species